CCUACGGGAGGCUGCAGUCAAGAAUCAUUCACACUGGGGGAAACCCUGAUGGUGCGACGCCGCGUGGGGGAAUGAAGGUCUUCGGAUUGUCAACCCCUGUCAUGUGGGAGCAAAUUAAAAAGAUAGUACCACAAGAGGAAGAGACUGCUAACUCUGUGCCAGCAGCCGCGGUAAUACAGCGGUGUCAAGCGUUGUUCGGAUUCACGGGGCGUAAAGCGUGCGGAGGCUGGUUCGUAAGGCUGGUGUGAAAGGCGCGGGUGCAACCCGCGGAGUGCACAUGAUACUGCGAGACUAGAGUAAUGGAGGGGGAAGCGGAAUUCUCGGUGUAGCAGUGAAAUGCGUAGAUAUCGAGAGGAACACUCGUGGCGAAGGCGGGUUCCUGGACAUUAACUGACGCUGAGGCACGAAGGCGAGGGGAGCGAAAGGGAUUAGAUACCCGAGUAGUC
rnacentral:rRNA from 1 species